UGGGCCCUUGAGUAGCCGAUAGGAUAGGAGAGUAAUCGACUAUUGCAGUGCCGACAGUCCAUGUGUCAGUCACCGACGGGCCGACAGCCCGAUCGGCUACCCAAUGGCCGACUGGCGCCCACCAGAGCGCGAGCGGCGGGCCUGGCGCCGAGAUCGCCGAUGGCCUUGGGAACACCGCCCUCCCAGCGAGCGCUCCUGCCGGAGCCGCGCCGUCUCCGCGUACGUCAUCCAUGGACCCCUACAAGUACCCGCCAUCGAGCGCCCACAACGGCCCGCACUGGAGCACCAACUCCGGCGCGGCCUUGCACCAUGCCGUCGCCGUUGAAGAGGUGGUGCCCGGCGGUGGGCUCGAAGCACGGGCGGCUGCUCGCCCAUCGGCGCGAAGUUGCCCGCGAUCUGCACGGCGGGGUCCGCCGCCCGCGGCCUCUCGAGCAGGUCGAGCGCCAGCGGCCUCUCGAGCUGCACACCUCCUGCUCCUGUUCUACGCGCGCGGUCUCUGCGGCCUCAUCGACCCCUCGCCCGGCACCAGCGUCGCCAACGCCGGACUCGUCUACUUCAAGGGACCGUAGGCUCAUGAUUAAGCACUUUAGCUAUCUAUUAUGGUAAUUGUCCGCUAUCCGCACUUUACUUUUACUUUACUAUUACGGAUUUGGAAGUGGGAAAGCCGACCUAAGCUUUUGAAGACCA